GUAGCAAGGUUAAGCACUUAAGGUGUGGAGCCGUAGCGAAAGCGAGUUUUAACUGAGCGUUCAGUUACUUGACGUAGACCCGAAACCGGGCGACCUACCCAUGAGCAGGAUGAAGCGAAAGUAAAAUGUCGUGGAGGUCCGAACCCACGAGCGUUGAAAAGCUCGGGGAUGACUUGUGGGUAGCGGUGAAAUUCCAAUCGAGCCCGGAGAUAGCUGGUUCUCCCCGAAAUAGCUUUAGGGCUAGCCUCAAGGUGAGAGAUACGGAGGUAGAGCACUGAAUGUCCUAGGGGGUAUUGCACCUACCGAAGACUAUCAAACUCCGAAUGCCGUCAUCUUAUACUUGGGAGUCAGACUGUGGGUGAUAAGAUUCAUAGUCGAAAGGGCAACAGCCCAGAUCGUCAGCUAAGGUCCCUAAAUGUAAGUUAAGUGGUAAAGGAUGUGGGAUUGCACAGACAACCAGGAUGUUGGCUUAGAAGCAGCCACUCAUUCAAAGAGUGCGUAAUAGCUCACUGGUCGAGUGAUCCUGCGCCGAAGAUUUCCGGGGCUAAAACUUACUACCGAAGCUACGGCAUCAGUAAUGAUGGGUAGGGGAGCUUCCCAUACGGGUUGAAGCAUGACCGUAAGGACAUGUGGACAGUAUGGGAGUGAGAAUGUUGGCAUGAGUAGCGAGAUGUGGGUG
rnacentral:rRNA from 1 species